UUUAUACUCCCUCCGUCCAACAAAGGAUGUCUCGACUUUCACUAAAUUUGAAUGCAUCUAUACACUAAGUCAUGUCUAGAUACAUCCAAAUUUUAACAAACUUGAGACAUCUUUUGUUGGACGGAGGGAGUACAAA
rfam:Brachypodium distachyon strain Bd21 chromosome 2, whole genome shotgun sequence.